rnacentral:rRNA from 1 species
UUUGUUUGGAGAGUUUGAUCCUGGCUCAGGACGAACGCUGGCGGCGUGCUUAACACAUGCAAGUCGAACGGAAAGGCCCUUUCGGGGGUGCUCGAGUGGCGAACGGGUGAGUAACACGUGGGUGAUCUGCCCUGCACUUUGGGAUAAGCCUGGGAAACUGGGUCUAAUACCGAAUAGGACCAUGGGAUGCAUGUCUUGUGGUGGAAAGCUUUUGCGGUGUGGGAUGGGCCCGCGGCCUAUCAGCUUGUUGGUGGGGUGAUGGCCUACCAAGGCGACGACGGGUAGCCGGCCUGAGAGGGUGUCCGGCCACACUGGGACUGAGAUACGGCCCAGACUCCUACGGGAGGCAGCAGUGGGGAAUAUUGCACAAUGGGCGCAAGCCUGAUGCAGCGACGCCGCGUGGGGGAUGACGGCCUUCGGGUUGUAAACCCCUUUCAGUACCGACGAAGCGUAAGUGACGGUAGGUACAGAAGAAGCACCGGCCAACUACGUGCCAGCAGCCGCGGUAAUACGUAGGGUGCGAGCGUUGUCCGGAAUUACUGGGCGUAAAGAGCUCGUAGGUGGUUUGUCGCGUUGUCCGUGAAAACUCACAACUCAAUUGUGGGCGUGCGGGCGAUACGGGCAGACUGGAGUACUGCAGGGGAGACUGGAAUUCCUGGUGUAGCGGUGGAAUGCGCAGAUAUCAGGAGGAACACCGGUGGCGAAGGCGGGUCUCUGGGCAGUAACUGACGCUGAGGAGCGAAAGCGUGGGGAGCGAACAGGAUUAGAUACCCUGGUAGUCCACGCCGUAAACGGUGGGUACUAGGUGUGGGUUUCCUUCCUUGGGAUCCGUGCCGUAGCUAACGCAUUAAGUACCCCGCCUGGGGAGUACGGCCGCAAGGCUAAAACUCAAAGGAAUUGACGGGGGCCCGCACAAGCGGCGGAGCAUGUGGAUUAAUUCGAUGCAACGCGAAGAAC